UACGUAGGGGGCUAGCGUUGUCCGGAAUCAUUGGGCGUAAAGAGCGUGUAGGCGGCCCGGUAAGUCCGCUGUAAAAGUCAAAGGCUCAACCUUUGAAUGUCAGUGGAUACUGCCGGGCUAGAGUCCGGAAGAGGCGAGUGGAACUCCUGGUGUAGCGGUGGAAUGCGCAGAUAUCAGGAAGAACACCAACGGCGAAGGCAGCACGCUAGGACGGUACUGACGCUGAGACGCGAAAGCGUGGGGAGCGAACAGG
rnacentral:rRNA from 1 species